rnacentral:rRNA from 1 species
CAGGGAUUGCCUCAGUAACGGCGAGUGAAGCGGCAGCAGCUCAAAUUUGAAAUCUGGCCCCUUGGGGGUCCGAGUUGUAAUUUGUAGAGGGUGUUUCGGGCGCGAUGCCGGUCUAAGUUCCUUGGAACAGGACGUCGUAGAGGGUGAGAAUCCCGUAUGCGACCGGCGAUCAAGCCUGUGUGAAGCCCCUUCGACGAGUCGAGUUGUUUGGGAAUGCAGCUCAAAAUGGGUGGUAAAUUUCAUCUAAAGCUAAAUAUUGGCCAGAGACCGAUAGCGGACAAGUAGAGUGAUCGAAAGAUGAAAAGCACUUUGGAAAGAGAGUCAAACAGUACGUGAAAUUGUUGAAAGGGAAGCGCUUGCAAUCAGACCGGUCCGGAGGCGAUCAGCCGCUGCUCGUCAGCGGUGCACUCGCCUGCGAUCCGGCCAGCAUCGGUUCGGGCGGCGGGAUAAAAGUCCCGGGAAUGUAGCUUCUUUCGGGGAGUCUUAUAGCCCGGGUCGCAAUGCCGCCCGCCCGGACCGAGGACCGCGCUUCGGCUAGGAUGCUGGCGUAAUGGUUGCAAGCGACCCGUCUUGAAACACGGACCAAGGAGUCUAACAUCUAUGCGAGUGUUUGGGUGUCAAACCCAGGCGCGGAAUGAAAGUGAACGGAGGUGGGAACCCGUCAGACGGCGCACCAUCGACCGAUCCAGAUGUCUUCGGAUGGAUUUGAGUAUGAGCAUAGCUGUUGGGACCCGAAAGAUGGUGAACUAUGCCCGGAUAGGGUGAAGCCAGAGGAAACUCUGGUGGAGGCUCGCAGCGGUUCUGACGUGCAAAUCGAUCGUCAAAUCUAGGCAUAGGGGCGAAAGACCAAUCGAACCAUCUAG